rnacentral:misc_RNA from 1 species
CACAAAUAUGAAGGCGGGCUGGCACCUCUCGGGGUGGCCAGCCUUGCUGAAUUAUUCACCCGUGUCUUUUGCGUACUUCUUGUUUCCUUGGUGGGCUCGCCCACCACAAGGACCAACCCAUAAAACCUUUUUUGUAAUGGCAAUCAGCGUCAGUAACAACAUAAUAAUUA